UGCAGUCGAGGGGUAUAGGUAGCUUGCUAUCUAGAGACCGGCGCACGGGUGCGUAACGCGUAUGCAAUCUACCUUUUACAGGGGGAUAGCCCAGAGAAAUUUGGAUUAAUACCCCAUGGUAUUAUGGAAUGGCAUCAUUCUGUAAUUAAAGUCACAACGGUAAAAGAUGAGCAUGCGUCCCAUUAGCUAGUUGGUAAGGUAACGGCUUACCAAGGCGACGAUGGGUAGGGGUCCUGAGAGGGAGAUCCCCCACACUGGUACUGAGACACGGACCAGACUCCUACGGGAGGCAGCAGUGAGGAAUAUUGGUCAAUGGGCGCAAGCCUGAACCAGCCAUGCCGCGUGCAGGAUGACGGUCCUAUGGAUUGUAAACUGCUUUUGUACGGGAAGAAACAGUUCUUCGUGAAGAACCUUGACGGUACCGUAAGAAUAAGGAUCGGCUAACUCCGUGCCAGCAGCCGCGGUAAUACGGAGGAUCCAAGCGUUAUCCGGAAUCAUUGGGUUUAAAGGGUCCGUAGGCGGUCUGGUAAGUCAGUGGUGAAAGCCCAUCGCUCAACGGUGGAACGGCCAUUGAUACUGCCAGACUUGAAUUUCCAGGAAGCAACUAGAAUAUGUAGUGUAGCGGUGAAAUGCUUAGAUAUUACAUGGAAUACCAAUUGCGAAGGCAGGUUGCUACUGGUGGAUUGACGCUGAUGGACGAAAGCGUGGGUAGCGAACAGGAUUAGAUACCCUGGUAGUCCACGCCGUANACGAUGGAUACUAGCUGCUGGGAGCAAUCUCAGUGGCUAAGCGAAAGUGAUAAGUAUCCCACCUGGGGAGUACGAACGCAAGUUUGAAACUCAAAGGAAUUGACGGGGGCCCGCACAAGCG
rnacentral:rRNA from 1 species